GAUCCUGGCUCGGGACGAACGCUGGCGGCGCGCCUAACACAUGCAAGUCGAACGAGCGAGAGAAAGCUUGCUUUCUCGAGCGAGUGGCGAACGGGUGAGUAACGCGUGAGGAACCUGCCUCAAAGAGGGGGACAACAGUUGGAAACGACUGCUAAUACCGCAUAAGCCCACGGCUCGGCAUCGAGCAGAGGGAAAAGGAGCAAUCCGCUUUGAGAUGGCCUCGCGUCCGAUUAGCUAGUUGG
rnacentral:rRNA from 1 species